CUUGGCGUUGAUCAUUAUCAACAUAAUAAUAGCACAAAGCUCUCUCGAGAACAUGACACAUCAGACUUUUAAAUCAUUGUGGAGUUGUCAUGUCAAUAAAUGAAAAAAAUUGUACUACACAUCAGCUUAGUUGAUCUCAAGAAAUUAUCUAUUUCCCUUCUCAAAGUCGUAGAGACUCUUCUUCUCUGUUUCACAUUAGUUAUCUCAAAAAAUUGACUGACACUCUUCAUCUCUUCUUCACAUUAAUUUGUGAUUUAUAUGGCAACGCUUUAGCUUUUAGGUAUUUUGAACGAAGCCGUGAAUAUGAUAAGGUAAAUUCUUCAUAACCAUGUUUUCUAAAUCUUUGUUUGUUGCUUUAUUUUUUAAUGGUCGUGUUAUCUAUUUAAAUAGAAAAUGAAUACAGUGUUUUAGGUUUUGCAAAUAAGAACAUAACAAGAAAUAAACAACACUAAAAAGUUUUUCAUCAAACAAUUAGUACAUCGAAUGGAAAGUAGGUGAAAAGUAGGCUCUAUCCAUUCAAUUGCUUCUGCAGGACCAGGGCUGAAGCAGGUUCGAAGCUAAGCCAGAUGGAAUCGUAAAAUUUGGAAUUCGAAGUCGAUGAGGCUUGUUUGUCUAAACUUCUCUGAAGUAUAUGACAAAUGAAACAGAGAGUCGGAGACAAUGAUAUCAUCACACCAACAGUAGUUUUUGUAUAGGUUGAUACAUGGAAUCAGAAGGAUCCAUAGAGUACUAGAGUUGCUUCCUUGGAUAAACAUUUGGGUUUAUAUAAUUGGAUGGUAAUAUUGUGUUGGCCAUGGAUAAGUGCUUCUAGAGUAUUAAAGGAGAAAACUGCAAACAAAUAUUAACUAAAAAAUUAUGUUCUUCUAGGAUUUACAAAGAAAUUUCAUGUAUUAAGUUUCGUGAUUUUUAAGGAACAAUGGGUUGGGAA